UUCUACUUGUGUAUUCUGUUCUCUUCAGCGGUUCUUGCUUGUGCAGUGAACUCUUGUUCCCAGUUGAUACUGAGGAUCUCCCUGCAGAAAUCUCGGGAUUUCUCCAUUUCCCCAACAGAUUUGCUUUGGUGGCAAUUUUUGCCUGUUGUGAACUUCUGUUCCCCAGUUGGGUUGAUUGUUGAUCUAUCAAUCAGAGAUUUUGUGAUUUCUUUGAUAUCUCUGAUCUUU
rnacentral:lncRNA from 1 species